rnacentral:rRNA from 1 species
UGGGGAAUAUUGGACAAUGGGCGAAAGCCUGAUCCAGCCAUGCCGCAUGUGUGAAGAAGGUCUUCGGAUUGUAAAGCACUUUAAGUUGGGAGGAAGGGCAGUAAGCGAAUACCUUGCUGUUUUGACGUUACCGACAGAAUAAGCACCGGCUAACUCUGUGCCAGCAGCAGCGGUAAUACAGAGGGUGCAAGCGUUAAUCGGAAUUACUGGGCGUAAAGCGCGCGUAGGUGGUUCGUUAAGUUGAAUGUGAAAGCCCCGGGCUCAACCUGGGAACGGCAUCCAAGAAUGGCGAGCUAGAGUAGGGCAGAGGGUGGUGGAAUUUCCUGUGUAGCGGUGAAAUGCGUAGAUAUAGGAAGGAACACCAGUGGCGAAGGCGACCACCUGGGCUCAUACUGACACUGAGGUGCGAAAGCGUGGGGAGCAAACAGG